CCGUGGGCGCUUCGCCUUGAGUUGUUGCCACGGGUCUGGGGAUUGGAGAGCCAGGAGCUGGCACCUGGGCCACCAAGACUGUGGCCAGAGGAGCCGAUCAGAGUCCUUGACAGGUGAGUCUCCAUUUCAUCUCGUUCUUUCUGCACUGACUGAAGAUGCCCCUCAAGAUCUGCCAUCUGCUGGUGAACCAGGGACAUCUCCCUCUGCAGUCGAAGUGAAUUGUGUCCUCCCUGGAGUCAGCCUCUCUCUGCAGCUCCUCCAGCUUUGCUUGUAGCUCAUC